UACGGGGGGGGCAAGCGUUGUUCGGAAUUACUGGGCGUAAAGGGCUCGUAGGCGGCCAACUAAGUCAGACGUGAAAUCCCUCGGCUUAACCGGGGAACUGCAUCUGAUACUGGAUGGCUUGAGUUCGGGAGAGGGAUGCGGAAUUCCAGGUGUAGCGGUGAAAUGCGUAGAUAUCGGAGGAACACCGGUGGCGAAGGCGGCAUCCUGGACCGACACUGACGCUGAGGAGCGAAAGCCAGGGGAGCGAACAGG
rnacentral:rRNA from 1 species